GAUGAACGCUGGCGGCGUGCUUAACACAUGCAAGUCGAACGGAAAGGCCCAAGCUUGCUUGGGUGCCCGAGUGGCGAACGGGUGAGUAACACGUGGGUGAUCUGCCCUGCACUUUGGGAUAAGCCUGGGAAACUGGGUCUAAUACCGGAUAGGACCAUCGUUUAGUGUCGGUGGUGGAAAGUUUUUCGGUGUGGGAUGAGCUCGCGGCCUAUCAGCUUGUUGGUGGGGUAAUGGCCUACCAAGGCGUCGACGGGUAGCCGGCCUGAGAGGGUGUACGGCCACAUUGGGACUGAGAUACGGCCCAGACUCCUACGGGAGGCAGCAGUGGGGAAUAUUGCACAAUGGGCGCAAGCCUGAUGCAGCGACGCCGCGUGGGGGAUGACGGCCUUCGGGUUGUAAACUCCUUUCGCCAAGGACGAAGCGUUUUGUGACGGUACUUGGAGAAGAAGCACCGGCUAACUACGUG
rnacentral:rRNA from 1 species